rnacentral:rRNA from 1 species
UACAGGGGGGGCAAGCGUUGUUCGGAAUUACUGGGCGUAAAGGGUCUGUAGGUGGCCAACUAAGUCAGACGUGAAAUCCCUCAGCUUAACUGGGGAACUGCGUCUGAUACUGGAUGGCUUGAGUGUGGGAGAGGAAUGCGGAAUUCCAGGUGUAGCGGUGAAAUGCGUAGAUAUCUGGAGGAACACCGGUGGCGAAGGCGGCCUGCUGGGCAGUAGCUGACGCUGAGGCGCGACAGCGUGGGGAGCAAACAGG